rnacentral:tmRNA from 1 species
GGGGGCGUGUUUGGCUUUCGACGGGGGUUGGCUGGAGCCGGAUAAGCGGGUCGCAGUUCCGGAGUGCUGCGUUAAAAAGCCGGAUUAAAAUUAGUUGCAGACAACACUAAACUCGCUUACGCUGCGUAAGUCAGCGUAAUGCCCUGCCGGCGGCACCCUAAUCGCCGGGCCAGGGUAUCAUCAGCUAGGGGAACCGCCUCCGCAAAGCUUUGAGCGGAGGAAGGGUAUCAUGAAGCUACCGAAAGCAUGCCCCUGAGCGUGGGGGUGUGCGGAGGGAAACGGUUAAAAUACACGCUCUGCACCCGGAGAAAGUCCGACUUUGGGACCUUCGGACAGGGGUUCGACUCCCCUCGCCUCCACCA